UACAGAGGGUGCGAGCGUUAAUCGGAUUUACUGGGCGUAAAGCGUGAGUAGGUGGCUCGCUAAGCCGAUUGUGAAAGCCCUGGGCUCAACCUGGGAAUUGCAGUCGAUACUGGUGAGCUAGAGUUCGGUAGAGGGUGACGGAAUUCCCGGUGUAGCGGUGAAAUGCGUAGAUAUCGGGAGGAACAUCGAUGGCGAAGGCAAUCACCUGGGCCUGAACUGACACUGAGACACGAAAGCGUGGGUAGCAAACAGG
rnacentral:rRNA from 1 species